CCYAUCUUCUGAGAGGCAAACUUGUUCAUCUUGUUUGUUUUUGGUGUCAUUAAGCUGGCUAUUGACAUGUCUAUCCAAUGAGACCAAGAUCUUAUAAACCCACAUGUUUUGAGAGAACUACAGCCAUUUUAAUGACGACUGGAUUGGUAAAGGUUCAUUUAAUCUUUUUUUUUGUCCCUACUGUAAUAUGAGUCAAGUUUUCAUCUGGUCUUUAUUUUGAGAGAUUUGGGUUUUAGUCAUUCUGGUUAAUAUUGUUAAGGGGUGUUGGUCACCGACUUGCUAGACAAACUGAGAUACAUUAGCUAGAUCCUAGAAUCACUACAAAGAAAAAUCGGCUAAGCUGGCGGUUGUAAGACGGCAGUCAUAAGAAACACCAGCCUUGAUGCAUCAAUGGUGGCGGUUUUAUCAUAACUGCCACCAUUGAAUUAAACCGAGGAAAUGGUUAAAACAGGGUGGCGGUUCAGUAAACUAAACCGGCGGUAUUUGCAUUGAACUAGCCGAUUCAGUGAAUCAAAACCGGUUCAAUGCUUUCCCUCCAUUUCUAAAAUAAUGGAGUCACGCGAUUUCUACGAGCAAUAUGACUCCUCUUCUCUACUUUCUCUCCUACACAACUCCACUUCUCCACUUUCUCUCCCACACAACAACAAUGAUAUGAAAAGUUUUCUUCAUUGAUCAAGAUUCUGAAUGAUUGAGGUCGGAUUUAUAUUCAAUCGACACAUUGAGAGCUAUGAAAUUAACAGAGAAGUCGAGAAAGGGCGAGAACAGCUACUGCUCUACACUCCUACGGUGACGAGGCUCGGCUCUUAAACUUUUUCAAGAGGAUCUUGCGCUAUUUGAUAUUCAGGAGGGGGUAACUUUCCAGUGGGGAGCUUUAGAAACAAAGCUGGUUGGACUCCUGGAAGCAGAAUAUCUAGCUAAGCUGUUUAGGAGACGAAUUCAAUGCCAGUAGCUGUAGAAGCUCUCAGUUGUUUGGAAUUUGGAAG